rnacentral:misc_RNA from 1 species
GAUGAAGAACGUAGCGAAAUGCGAAAAGUAGUGUGAAUUGCAGAAUUCAGUGAAUCAUCGAAUCUUUGAACGCACAUUGCGCCCUUUGGUAUUCCUUAGGGCAUGCCUGUUCGAGCGUCAUUUAACCCUUCAAGCUAAGCUUGGUGUUGGGUGACUGUCCGCUUCACGGCGGACUCGCCUCAAAAUUAUUGGCGGCCGGUACAUUGGCUUCGAGCGCAGCAGAAACGCGAACUCGGGCCCGUCGUAUUGGCUCCCAGAAGCUAUCUUCACAAUUUUGACCUCGGAUCAGGUAGGGAUACCCGCUGAACUUAAGCAUAUCAAUAAGCGGAGGA